rnacentral:lncRNA from 1 species
GACAAACAUGUUAAAAGUUUAAAACAUGCCUUGCUACCUGUUUACUUUGGCAGCCAUACCUUUUAGUUCACCAUUCAUUCACGCUUUUGCACUUCUCUGAACCAGCUUGCCACGACGAUGACCAUGGCUCUCAAGGCCAGCAAAGAUGUCUUGUGUUGUUAACAAAGCUGAUUAGGCCAAUUCACAAUUCCUUGAACAGAGUUGUCUGAUGUGAGAAAUAUCUCCCUGCAACAUAAACAGAGUUGCUAACAAAACAAGGUAGCAAGGCGUGUUUAUUUCAGCCUGAUUAGGCUAAUCCUGCGCCCAGUCCUUGGGGAUCCAUCUGUACCGUCUCAUUGUACUUUAUUUCAGCCACACGUGACCUGCCACUAGUCGGGCAUGAUGAUAAACAGUGCAACAAAGGAGCUUUUUAGAAAUUGUGUAAAGCUACUCGUUUUGACACGUUCAGUAGGUGUUUUUUGACAAAUAUAUGUCGCAAUUGACAAAAGAAAAUCAGCAGAUCAAGCUUUCUUACAUAUAUGGAAUACAUGCUAGCUUCAGUUUUAACUGUCAAUUGCACCUUAAAGCAUAGUAUGUGAAUUAAUUGCAGCUUUGAACAUUUUGGAUGCUCACUGUAUAAAAUGGAAAACAAGUGUACAACUUUGUACACAUCAGUCAAUAGCUUGCGAGUGUGAUCAUCAGUUAGCAUUCUAGAACAGGAAAUAUUUAUUUAUGUUGAUCAGAUUUGUUUUAUGCAGGUUAUGUAUGGGCAAGAUACCCGACGUCCAUACGCCGUCACCAGGAAAAUUAAGUGCAUUGGAGAAGGCAUUAAUAAUUAUUUUUGAAAGAAAGUCAGAGUUUGUGGUCAAGAGUUCAAUUCUUUGGCUGAAGCUUACGACUUCUAUAACCUAGUCAAAAUUCUGUUCUAUUUGCUGGGCAAAGGGUCACCUGGCAAAUGGUUGUCCCUCUCGAGGAGAUGCACAAAAAAACCAAGGAUAGAACCAAAGUGUAGCAAGUGCUGACCUGGAGGGCACAAAAGGAAUGCGUGCACACGGAGUAUCUUCAGCGUGUUCCUCCAAAGCAAACCCGAGAAUUUAUUCGCGUCAUAGAUAUUAUCUCGUCUAUAUUUUGUAUGGGUGUUAUCUUAUCAUUUGAAAACUUGUGUCUUUUUUGGGGGGCAUUUUGCAUUGGGUAUUACAUGGUCAAUAGACAAAUUCUGUUUGUGUGGAUUUUGUCGAUGUUCAAAAAUAUCAGACAGUGAACAUGGCAAGAAUGGUGAAGGGUGGUGACUGAUUAGGCUACAGACCUCCUUGCAGAUCAAUGGAUUUCUCGUUUAAGGUCAAGUCAUUACCGUAGUAGAAUUUGUUGGUCACGCUUCUUUCAUGGACUUUAUUAACGCGUUGUCUGAACUUUAACAUAAAAAUACGAAGAACUUUAUUAACUUGACCGAACAUUGAUCGAAAGAGUCAGAAGCUUUGAC